UUCCGGUUGAUCCCGCCGGACCUGACUGCUAUCGGAUUGAUACUAAGCCAUGCGAGUCAUUGUAGCAAUACAAGGCAGACGGCUCAGUAACGCGUAGUCAACCUAACCUAUGGACGGGAAUAACCUCGGGAAACUGAGAAUAAUACCCGAUAGAACAUUAUGCCUGGAAUGGCUUAUGUUUCAAAUGAUUUAUCGCCGUAGGAUGGGACUGCGGCCUAUCAGUUUGUUGGUGAGGUAAUGGCCCACCAAGACUAUUACAGGUACGGGCUCUGAGAGGAGUAGCCCGGAGAUGGGUACUGAGACACGGACCCAGGCCCUAUGGGGCGCAGCAGGCGAGAAAACUUUGCAAUGUGCGAAAGCACGACAAGGUUAAUCCGAGUGGUUUGUGCUAAGCGAACCUUUUGUCAGUCCUAGAAACACUAACGAAUAAGGGGUGGGCAAGUUCUGGUGUCAGCCGCCGCGGUAAAACCAGCACCUCAAGUGGUCAGGAUGAUUAUUGGGCCUAAAGCAUCCGUAGCCGGCUUUGUAAGUUUUCGGUUAAAUCCAUGCGCUCAACGUAUGGGCUGCCGGGAAUACUGCAAAGCUAGGGAGUGGGAGAGGUAGACGGUACUCGGUAGGAAGGGGUAAAAUCCUUUGAUCUAUUGAUGACCACCUGUGGCGAAGGCGGUCUACCAGAACACGUCCGACGGUGAGGGAUGAAAGCUGGGGGAGCAAACCGGAUUAGAUACCCGGGUAGUCCCAGCUGUAAACGAUGCAGGCUAGGUGUUUGGGCGGCCACGUGCCGCUCUAGUGCCGCAGGGAAGCUGUUAAGCCUGCCACCUGGGGAGUACGGUCGCAAGAUUGAAACUUAAAGGAAUUGGCGGGGGAGCACCACAAGGGGUGAAGCCUGCGGUUCAAUUGGAUUCAACGCCGGA
rnacentral:rRNA from 1 species